UCAAAUAAAUCAUGAAAUGCUCAAAUUUUCAUACCAUGUUCGCAAAGUCAUUACAACUUCCAUAUCUGAAGGCAAAUACAUAUUUUUAACUAUCUAAGUAGAAUGACCAGAUUAGAUACAGAUACGGCAAUUUGCUCAAACCUAUUUUCGACUGGCCAAACCAUGGUACGAUCUAUAACCAGUCAUACCAACCAUAGUGGCCCUAUUACAUAUCUACGGUCACGACGGUACUUGGCCAAUGGUGAUCCCAAAAUGAUAUUCGCAUUACCACUCUCGU
rnacentral:lncRNA from 1 species